CAGGAUUCCCAUACAGGGAACUCAAGUACCAAUACCGAUGUAAAAAUUUGAGAAAAAUCUUCUUUCCUUUCGUCUUCUUUCCUCCUUGUGUCGAAAACCCUAGAAACCAUCGUCCUUCCUGCACGCAACACAUUCAAAUUUGGAAUUCCCGCAGCUAACAUAUCCGAUGCCUGGUGAUAUUUAGUCUUGGUCUUCAGAUUAUUAUAUUUCACUAAAAAAAAUGGCAGCGACGUCACUUGCCCUUAAACAUCUGAACACAGGACGGCGGGGUUGGUUUUUCCAAGGCUUGCUUUCGGUAUUCCGUGUUCUUCGUGAUGUUGUUUCUCAUCAACUUGCAUACAUAUGUGCCUUCUCUC